AAAAACAAAAAACAAAAACGUAUCAUUCAUUCAUUCUUAUGCUUAAACUCUUCUUAUUCUCAAACUCUUUUUCACGCAAAACCGUCUCUCACUGCAAACUCAAUCUUCACUAUAAACCCUUCUCUCACUGCAAAUUCUUCUUCACAGUAAAUCUCUUCGCCAAACACUUCUCACGAACCCAGAAAUCUCUUCGUCGAGUCCUUCACAUAAAACCCAGAAUUCGUACUGUUGUCACGAACCCUUCCUUGCAAAUUUGAAACGCUAAAUUUCUGGAAGGUGCUACUCAUUCAUAUGUAUGUAAUUUGUAAACCCUAACUUUUUUUGUUUUGUUGUGUUAUUUCAAUUUCUGUUUCUGCUGCUAUUUUUGUUUUAUUAUUAUUUUCCUGCAAUGCUAUCUGGUAUAUGCUCGUCUUUGUUUUGUGCUCUGCUUGUGCUAUUUUAUUUUGGGUCAUGGUAAUUAAUAUUUUUAGGUAAUACCGUAAUAGUUAAGAAAAUUAAUUCUUUUUUAUGAUAUAUAGUUUUUUAAGUAAUUCUUCAAAAACACUAGUUAACAAUUUCCUUUUGUUAUUUGUACAUCUUGUAGUUGGAUUACUGAUAUUCAAUAUAUUUUGCCUUUUAAGAAAAUAGUAAAUUAAAUAUUGGUUAACAAAAGGAAAAAUCGAAGCGCUUAUAUUCUGGACAUUGUGCAAAUUUAUUGUGUUGACACAAUUUGUUUCAGAAACAUUCAUCAUGUACAAAAUCCACAAAAAAAAAAAAAAAAAUCUAAGUCUUGGUAUACUCUAUUCAUCAUUAAUUAUAAACAAAAGGCGAUUUUUUAGAUUCGAUCUAUAUUAUUAUAGAUCAGAUAUACAUCCGCAAAGCAUUCUGCAAAGCAUAGUUCACAUAGAAGAUUUUUUGCCCCAACAGUCAACACUAUCCAUCCGCAAAGCAUUCUGCUAUUGAUAUCACUGUUAUCAUCAGAGUUUGCCUAUAAUUCAACUGUGAUGUUUGGUAGUUGGCUCUUUUAGUUUGUAUAUGUGGUUAGUUCACAAGAAAGGGAUUGGGGCCUUUAGUUUACCCUCCUCACAUUUCACCAAAAUAAGAAGUCUGUUAUCACAUUGUGAAUUAUAAGUUUCUAAGUUUCCAUUAAUUACUAUCAUUAGGAAGAUGUGCUACUAAAUUUUUUGCCUUGGUUGUAUUGGCCAUAUUUAGAGUGAAUGUCUUUUUAAAAUUACGUAAUUGUCUUUAUUUCAGCCACUUGCAAUAUAUCAUGCUCCUCAACUUGUUGGAAUUACAACCUCGAAUCUCGAAGUCAGUGAUAAGUUGAAAAUUCAUUACCUUGGUAAAUUAUCACCUUCAAAUUCUCUAUAUGCAUAUUUAUUUUGUAGCAUAGUUUAUUCCUAACAAAUUUGGAUUAUUUGGAAUAGUCAUACUUCUUAGGUUAGGUGGCUUUAUAUUCUCAUGAGGUACACAUUCAAUAGAUGUAAUGAUGUUUUUAUUUUUCAAGUUAUGUAACCUUAUUAUAUAGUUUUUUUCCCUUUUGAUUUCUUCUUGAAUUGAAACUGAUAAUAUUAAGAAAUGAUGGAUGUGUGCAUAGAAGGCGAUGACAUAUGUCAACUGUUGUGAUAUAUGCAUUGCUGCCAUUAUCUUAGUUCCAAUAUCAAUUAUCAGAAGUUAUUUAUUUUGUUUAUCAUGUCACAUGACAGGUAUUUCCUGUUGCUCAAAAGGAAUUUUGUGGAUUCAAUCAUUUUACAAGUAUGAACUCUCUCCCUUCUCUGGUCUUGAACUUGUUUGAGCGGGCUUGAAUACCCACUUUUCCUUUAUUCCUCGUAUCUCUUCCUUUAUUUUGGGUGCAAAAUAUACUAAACUGACGUGUUCAUGUUGUGCAGCAUUUGUGUGCUAUAGAAUUAUUUUAUAAUCUGAGGUUCUACACAAAAUUAUAAGCUAUGAGGUUUGGUACAUCUCUCACUCUUCAUUCUCAAACAUAGGAAAUUCACACAAAGGUUCAAGUUAUUGACAUCUAUCUAGUCUCUUUUUAAUCCACACAAAGGUAAGCUCAAAUAUGCCUAUUUUGUCAAAUAACUUAUAAAAAUUAGUUUUGAUAAUAAUGUCUUUCUUGUAUUUGAUAACAUACCUUAAUUAAGAUAGUAAUGUGUUUACAAAUUAGUCUCAUAUGAUAUUUAGAUUUUGUUGGGUUGUUUAGUGUCAUGUUAUUUUGUAUUUGAAUUAUAUCUCUCAAUGCUACUACAUAUAUAGACCCUUAGUAAGUUGAUUAAUAUGUUUGAAUUAUAUCUCGUGAUUUUAGGCUUUACAAAAUGCUGCUUAUAAAGCUGAUUGGUAUGUUCUCUAUAUAGUGUGCAAUAUGUCACAAUCUACGAAAGUUGUUCAUGAGGUAAUUUUCCCCCGCUCCUAAGUAUUGUUGUCUCUUUUUAUGUAAACCUUUAUGUCACAAUCUAUUUAAAUUAGUUCACUUUUAAUGAACUUUUUCCUAACAGUGUUGGAAGAAAUUCACAUGUUUAUAUAACUGGUUAUUGAAAGAGUCUGCAACUCUGCAUCAAUAUACUUUGUUGGAACUGAAGUUUUACAUUGAGAAAAGUAUUUACCGACUAGACGUUCACAUUUGAUCAUAUUCAAUUUUAGAGCCAAAAGCAACAAAUAGUUAUGAGUGCGGCUAUUAUGUCAUGAUACACAUGUUGAACAUUGUAUCUACUGGUGUUGUUGGUUCAUGGACCCAAGUAAGUAAUAUAAUUUAUGUAUCAAGCUGUAUCAAUUGAUUAAUACUAUUGUUUAUCUAAUUGGUGCAAGAGAAAACAAGCUAUAGUACAUGACGAAAUUUAGAGACAGAUCUAAGUUUAAGUUUUUUUUUAUUCUUUUUGUCCAGGUACGGUUACAAUUUUAAUGAUAUGCAAUUGUCCCAACACAUUAUAUGAAGUUUUUUCAAGACUUAGAAUAAUUCAUUAUUGUGUUGGUUCUCUCUGUGUUAGAAUUGUAAUUAGUUUGUAGUUAGUUACUUAUUUCUUCAUGAGUGAUAUUACCCCUUAAAUUAGUUUGUAAAUUUGUUCUUAUGUAAUUUAAAUUAGGGAAAAUAAAUUACUCUCAUUUGGUUGGCAAAUGCUGAGCUACCGUAUUUUUUAUUAUUUUUUUGUAAAGAAUUGUUUGCCACGAUUUAAUUGUGGCUAUUUUUUUUUAAUUUACAAUAACACUUCUUAGGUCGGUUAAACCUUUAACUGACU
rnacentral:lncRNA from 1 species